GACUUCGAUGGUGUAGUGGGCGCACGCGAACCCUCAGCAUGGGUGGAACGCAGGUUCAACUCCUGCUCAGGAUCG